ensembl:lncRNA
AUAAGAAUGUUGAGAGGAAUGCAGAUGAUGGAGGCCUGGCCUAUGAAAUUCCCCAGGGAAGUUUGAGUCACUUAAAAACUCUGUUGGAGCCAUUGCAUAUUUUGAGUUAAAAAUCUGUGGUUCUGGUCAGCUGAUGCUAAAGAAUCAGCUGUGAUUAACAAAAGUCCAGCACCAUUAAAGCAAAACCUUUGUGUUACUGGGACAGUUGAUAUCGGUCAGCUGGAGCUGAGAAAUUAUCGAUGAUUAAGAAGAGACCAGCAUCACUGAGAUGGAAUCUUCUAGCAAGUGUUUCCUGAGAGUCAGCACACAGAACCCGUGUUCAGAGCUGGCCAAGGUUGUACCAUAUGCUGGCAUCUGAACUUGGUCAUUUGUAAGAGUUGUCCAGGUGGUUCUGGUUAAUUUUUGAAGGCAUGAGGUGUCAUGGAGAACGGCUGAGGCUUGGCACUGUGUGGAAGGGCUGGAGCCUCUGAAGGGAACUCAGGAGAGAGGCUAUUGGUGAGACCGCAGCAUUUUGGAGAUGCCAAUGCGGUGGGACAAGCACCAAGAACAGUAGCAGUGGUGGAGUGGAGCCAGCAGGAGCCCAGAAGACAAGCUGUGUGCACUGCAGCAGGUGGGGCUGGAGAAUGGACCCAGGCCCUUUGGAGGAGUCGGAAAAUGUCUAGGAUCCCAGCCCACUGAAUCUUGUCACUCAGAUUUAGUUGGGUGUCUUUCCUCCUUGGUUUAACCUUUCUUGAUGCACCCCCAGAGAUGUAUCUCCAGUGUGAUUUGAAGACCCACCAUGUUGACAUCAAAAUCAAACAUUGCAAUUGCAAACACCCAAAGGACUUCAACUCCAACCACAAAGACACUUGGAAAUAUUGUUGCUGCUCUAUUCACCACAGCAAGGAAAUGGAAGUAGCCCAAAUACCCACCAACAGAUUAAGGAAUAAUGAGAACAUGUUAGAUAUACAUGAUGGCAUUUUAUUCAGCUCUAAAGAAAAGUGAAAUCAAACUUUCAGGAAAAUGGAUGGAACUGUGAAGAUAAUAUUAAUGAUGAAGCUGCCGGAUGAUGCUUCUCUCAGCAAGGAUUUCCGUUGUUAAGCAACACAUGACUGGAUUUAGAGAUGGGAGAUAUGGGAUCCUGAUUUGGAAGAAGAAUGAACAUGUAAUGUUCCUUGACAUUGCCAAGUUCCUCCCAAGGGAGUGCAACUCUUUCCAUUCCCCCCAGUGAGGCAGAAGAAUGCCAUUUCCCCACAGUCUUACCAAGAAAAUUUAUUGUCGAACUUCUGGAUUUUUGCCAGUUGGAUUAUGAGAAAUGAAGUGCCCAGAGAAUUCUACAUUUUCUUCUAAUGAGGGGGAGCCACUCUUUUAUUUCUGCAACUGAGAUGAGCCCCUUCCACUAAUUUUUUGGCUUUUACUUUGAUAUAACUAGUUAUAUCUGGGUUUUUGCUUUGCAGUGUCAGCUAUGGUCUCUUUGGCCAGCAGGGGUCAUGAGGGGUAUCUUGGGGACCCUUCUUAUGGCUUUAAUUUUGACUUUGUUCACUGGGUCUUAGAAGGUGAAGAUCAGCUCCAAGGAUCAUGAGGGUUUGGUCCUCACUUUCCAUCCUGUUUAAGACAGUCUCUUGGGGCUCAUCUCUGUGAUACCAGACUAGCUCACCUAUGAGUUUCUGCAGCUUCUCCCGUGUCUUCCCCCUAUAUGCCCCCAAAAGUGCUGGGAUUACAUAUGUGUGCAUGUGUCUUUCUUUUGCACGGGUUCUAGGGCUCCAGACUGGGGUUGUCAGGUUGUAUGGCAAAUGCUUUAACCACCCAGCUAUGCUACCCCUCCCCUGUCCUCCUUUUCUAGGAUUUUGAGAGACAAAAGAUGAUUGAUUUGAGACUCCUGUUCUUCAGCGUAGGAUUCCAUUUCAAUCAUCUCUCAGGAUUUCUUUAGUUGUAUCCCACAAAAUCUGAUAUGUUUUAUUUCCUUUUUCUUUAAGUUCAAUGGGCUUUAAUUGUUUUUUGAACUGUUCUCUUUGGUUCAUGAAUGAUUUAGAAAUAUAUGAUUUAGUGUCCGAUGGAUGAAAGAUUUUCAUUAUUUAAAGUUUUAUUACAAUGUGGUCAGAGGGUACAUUCCAUGUGAUUAAAAUAUUUAAAUGUGUUAAUACUUAUUUUUAUGGCUCAGAGGCGUCUGCCUUGGUACAUGUCCCACAGGCACUAGAAAAGAAUGUGUACCACUUCUGGUGGGUACAUAUUUUUCUGAAUACUUGUUCUAUACACUGCUG